GCUUGCAUGGAUGGGAAGAGUGCUUGGCGGGAGGGUGUCUUCACAGAUAAGAAAACUGAAGGACAAAGUUCAAGGACCUUAGUCAAGUUGACGCAACUGGGUGACAUAAAGAAUUCUUAAACAAUCAUGUGGCUCUUUCAUGAAUAUAUGGAAUGUCCCAGCAACAGUUUUAAUUUUAAAAAUGGUAAAGUAGAGAG